CAGGAAAGUCUUGAUCCUUAGCUGAAGAUUUCUGCAGUAUGAGCAACAGGGCAAAGUAGCUGAUCACAUCUGAAAUGACUAGGAAACAAAGGCUAAAUAUGGAAUUAGUAGAUAUUGUGAUUAGAGCAGUUGAGAACUUGAUGUUCUGAUUUCAAAGAAAAAUAAGAAAUUCUGAAAAGAAAAUAGAUCUGCUUCAACUGGAAAAAAAAAAGUGUUUUUUGUUCUUGUUUUUGUUUUUAGCUAAAUGUAGGCCUGAAAAUACUGUUUCAACUUAAUUGGAAGCAUUCAAUUGGGCUGAAAUGAAUGCAAAGUUCACUUCCAGUCACUGUCAUGACUAGAUCAGAUGCUAACUUCUAGCUUGCUGAAAGCAAGGAAAGUAUAAUAAACGCCAUGCUUACCCAUACAGGACAAAGAAACAAGGUGUGAUUUUCCAGGUCUGGGAACACAUGGGGGCCGUGCAUGGGCUGUUUAUUACUUCAGUAUUCAUCGUUGGAAGCAAUGAGUCUUACAGAAAGGAAAAAAUGCUGCAGGGAUCAGCCUGCUGGAAGGAAGAUACCACUGUAACCCUUGGUGAUCUACAAAUCUGCAAGGCAAAGAGAAAGGCUUUUAGGAGCGUGAUUUUGGCUGGGGACACCUCUAUUUGAAGACUGAGCCAGGCCAGCACCUUUUGGCAGUGCUUUGGAUCAUGGAUUUGUGGCUCUUGAAGUCAUCUGUGGGACAAGGUCCAUCCCCUCUCAUGCUGCAUUCGCUCAGUCUUUGCUGAUACAAACUCUGAGGGGAAUUUCCACAUGAAUAGCAGACAAAAUUGAGGAUGAGCUUCACAACAAGAAAUAUCAACUGCUCUUCUUUGAGUACGAUAUAUGUAAACAGCAAUUUUAC
ensembl:lncRNA